AAGCCGUGGUGUGGGCAUUGGUUAGUGUAGCUUCUAAACCGUUCCCAAGCUUCACUAAAGCUCUCGAUAUUGUGCUGCGUGAAACUUGAGAUCUGAUUCCUGAGCUU
rfam:Eutrema salsugineum unplaced genomic scaffold scaffold_6, whole genome shotgun sequence.